AGAGUUUGAUCCUGGCUCAGAAUCAACGCUGGCGGCGUGCCUAACACAUGCAAGUCGAACGAGAAAAGGGUAGCAAUACCUGAGUAAAGUGGCGCACGGGUGAGUAACACGUGACUAACCUACCCUGGAGUGGGGGAUAACUGAGGGAAACCUUAGCUAAUACCGCAUAACACCUACGGGUCAAAGGAGCAAUUCGCUUCAGGAGGGGGUCGCGGUCGAUUAGUUAGUUGGCGGGGUAAUGGCCCACCAAGACUGUGAUCGAUAUCCGGCCUGAGAGGGCGCACGGACACACUGGAACUGAAACACGGUCCAGACUCCUACGGGAGGCAGCAGUGGGGAAUUUUGCGCAAUGGGGGAAACCCUGACGCAGCAACGCCGCGUGGAGGAUGAAGUCCUUCGGGACGUAAACUCCUUUCGAUCGGGACGAUUAUGACGGUACCGGAAGAAGAAGCCCCGGCUAACUUCGUGCCAGCAGCCGCGGUAAUACGAGGGGGGCGAGCGUUGUUCGGAAUUAUUGGGCGUAAAGGGUGCGUAGGCGGUUUGGUAAGUCUUGUGUGAAAUCUACAGGCUCAACUUGUAGUCUGCACGAGAAACUGCCGGGCUUGAGUAUGGGAGAGGUGAGUGGAAUUCCUGGUGUAGCGGUGAAAUGCGUAGAUAUCAGGAGGAACACCUGUGGCGAAAGCGGCUCACUGGACCAUAACUGACGCUGAUGCACGAAAGCUAGGGGAGCAAACAGGAUUAGAUACCCUAGUAGUCC
rnacentral:rRNA from 1 species